GUCCCGCAAGUCAGCAUAUAAUUCUGCUCUUAUGUUUCCUUGAUGUUUUUUGAUCCAGUCUAGUCUGUACUACAUGCAAGGGCAUCCACGUUGAACAUCCGAAGUUGCUCGUUCAUUGAGGUUCUUCUCGCCUUGUAUGCAUGUCACAACUCCCUUCUCAAGUUGCUCUUUCUUCAUACCAGAAAAUUGCACCACACCAUUCACACUUGCGUGUUGGACUUCCGAAGUUCCAGAUUUCCAUAUCUGUCCUUUUCGAUGUCCUGUUUAAGUUUCUGAAUUUAGCAUCAAUUUGAAUAUUAGUAUGUUCUUUUUUCUUACUAAUACAACAAACUUAAUAGAACUGACAUAUCUGGUUAUUCUGCCCUUGAUUUUUUCUAUUGUACACUUUGUGUUACUUUUAGUCAUGUACACACUUAACAGAAUUACCAGGUUCAUGGAUGUCCAAAUUGUAUAUCUUCAUUGAAUUUUCUUGCUACUUACCUCGUAGUUUUACCAGCCUAUGCUUUCCUAUGGCAAUUCAACAAUGCUGAUUUUGCCUCAGUCAAUGCACAUGAUUGACAUCUGUAAAUGAUAUGGUUCCCUGUGGUAAUUCAAGAAUGCUGAUUUUGCCUCCGUCUUGAUUAAGCCAUGUUGCAUGGAAAUGUGUUUUCAUGUUUAAAAAAAAAGCUGAUAGGUACAAUCAGGAACAAAUGCAACAUGUUUUUGUGAUUUAAUAUAACACUUGGAAGGAAUUGAACACAUAGAUAUCACAACUGAUGCACAAAGAAGAAGCAAGCUAUAAUGUUACUUCCAGUAUACCAUACUACAGUCGUGCAACAUAUAAGGGAAGUUUUCAAUUAUAUAAUUUUUUCUCCCGCUAGAGUCGGCCUUGUUGGUUAAAUUUAUGGUCAAAGUUGAAGCACGGGAAUAGAGGAAGCACUAUAUUUUGGAAUGGAGGGAGUAUUAUUGAUUGUCUGGAUUCAGAUCAAUAUUAUAAUAUUUUUUUCUGUCCAUGCUUAAAUCAAUUAUGAACACAAAUGUGCCUAACUGGAAUUGUUGCAUUAUAUAAUUUAGGUGUAACAUUUUUGUGAUAUCACUUAUUAAAAGUCCAUGAUUAGCAACGAAUCACCUUGCUGGAUUGUAUAUUUGAUUGCUUUUAACUACCUCGGUAGGUUUCUCACAUUAUUGCAGUAUGCUCGACCUUUUAUUUUCAUCGCUUCUUCCUGCACAAUAUAGAAAACAUGUAUUAGAGAAGAUGAUAUUGUAAAAUUGGUACGGAGUACUGCUUAAGGUUAUGGAGAUCUAUGAUUUUGAUUAAUUAUUCGCCUUACAAUUUUUUGUUUGUUGUAGAAGUAAAGGAGAUCAACUUCCAAGAUCAGUGAUUGUGGUGAAAGCUUUAAUGUUAAAGUGGAUGUUAAGUUUCAAUCAUCAUGAUGAAGACACGUAUUUGUGAGGGUCUUUUACCCUUCUGCUGCUGUUAGAUGAUAGUCUAUAUCAAAACAUAUAUGGGUGAAGAAUUGUAAUACGAAUUAGAAAGCCCCAUAUUACAAUUAUUAAUAUAUGGUUUCAUAUUACGAAUACGAUUAAUAUAAAUAGACUAAUACGAAUCUUGUCUUGUGUUGUUUUUUUGAAAGAAAACAUGCACUUUAUUGAU
rnacentral:lncRNA from 1 species